GACGAACCGUGCAAACGUUAUUCGGAAUCACUGGGCAUAAAGGGCGCGUAGGCGGCUCGCCAAGUCGGGGGUGAAAUCUUUCGGCUCAACCGGAAAAGUGCCUUCGAUACUGGCGGGCUGGAGGGAGGUAGGGGCAUGUGGAACUUCCGGUGGAGCGGUGAAAUGCGUUGAUAUCGGAAGGAACGCCGGUGGCGAAAGCGACGUGCUGGACCUCUUCUGACGCUGAGGCGCGAAAGCUAGGGGAGCGAACGGG
rnacentral:rRNA from 1 species